UAGGGAAUCUUCCGCAAUGGACGAAAGUCUGACGGAGCAACGCCGCGUGAGUGAAGAAGGAUUUCGGUUCGUAAAACUCUGUUGUUAGGGAAGAAAAAAUGUAUAGUAACUAUAUACAAACGAGACGGUACCUAACCAGAAAGCCACGGCUAACUACGUGCCAGCAGCCGCGGCAAUACGUAGGUGGCAAGCGUUGUCCGGAAUUAUUGGGCGUAAAGCGCGCGCAGGUGGUUUAGAAAGUCUGAUGUGAAAGCCCACGGCUCAACCGUGGAGGGUCAUUGGAAACUAAGAAACUUGAGUGCAGGAGAGAAAAGUGGAAUUCCUAGUGUAGCGGUGAAAUGCGUAGAGAUUAGGAGGAACACCGGUGGCGAAAGCGGCUUUUUGGCCUGCAACUGACACUGAGGCGCGAAAGCGUGGGGAGCAAACAGG
rnacentral:rRNA from 1 species